UUGCUUUUUUGAUGACGACCGGCGCACGGGUGCGUAACGCGUAUGCAAUCUACCUUUUGCUACUGGAUAGCCCAGAGAAAUUUGGAUUAACACAGUAUAGUAUCAUAUUACUGCAUGGUAUUUAUGAUUAAAGGCUACGGCAGAAGAUGAGCAUGCGUCCUAUUAGCUAGUUGGUGUGGUAACGGCAUACCAAGGCAACGAUAGGUAGGGGCCCUGAGAGGGGGAUCCCCCACACUGGUACUGAGACACGGACCAGACUCCUACGGGAGGCAGCAGUGAGGAAUAUUGGACAAUGGAGGCAACUCUGAUCCAGCCAUGCCGCGUGCAGGAUGACUGCCCUAUGGGUUGUAAACUGCUUUUAUACAGGAAGAAACCGCUCUACGUGUAGAGCUCUGACGGUACUGUAAGAAUAAGGAUCGGCUAACUCCGUGCCAGCAGCCGCGGUAAUACGGAGGAUCCAAGCGUUAUCCGGAAUCAU
rnacentral:rRNA from 1 species